rnacentral:rRNA from 1 species
UACGUAGGGUCCAAGCGUUAAUCGGAAUUACUGGGCGUAAAGCGUGCGUAGACGGUUAUCUAAGUCGGAUGUGAAAGCCCCGGGCUCAACCUGGGAAUUGCAUUCGAGACUGAAUAGCUAGGGUACGGUAGAGGGAAGUGGAAUUUCCGGUGUAGCGGUGAAAUGCGUAGAUAUCGGAAGGAACAUCAGUGGCGAAAGCGACUUCCUGGACCAGUACCGACGUUCAGGCACGAAAGCGUGGGGAGCAAACAGG